rnacentral:lncRNA from 1 species
UGUGUUAAAAAAGGCUAGAUUCGAUUAUUAUUUUAACAAAAAGACCCUGUUAACGAUCCUUGUUACAAUCUAGUAUUUCUGUUUGGAUCAGUGUAUUGUUUUCCUAUUCUGAAAAGGAGGGUAGAUUUUCCUUGCCCAUUGUCGGGUGGUAGGUGCGACAUAUGCCAACAGGUGGCUUAUCAUUGUGGGAGCUAGUAAGACGUCGUUGGUGCCUGGAAACAGGAUGAGGCAAAGACAUGCACGCCGGCGAAUCUUACCCAGCUUCGGGGCUCUCCGUGGAGAUAACACCCCUACUGCUGCUCUGCGGGGUCUCCGCAUGGUCACUAGAUGAACAAGUAGCUACACGGUGCUCCUUGAGCUGUUUGGCGAGAGGAGGAAGAAGGGCACGGCUUGCUCUCUUCUCCUCCCUAUGUGGUGUCUGAGACUAGCAGGGAUUGAUCUCUCUUUGCAUGGAUGCCCCGGGGGGUUUAUAUAGGCCUACCCCCCGGGGGUACCAUGGUAAUCCAGCUGGGCGCGGGGCCUAGCCGUCUGUGUCUACGCUCUCCGGCUUCUGCGCCGGCUGCUGGGGCCUGCCGGCUAGUGGGUCCCGCCGGCUGCCGGCUCCUUGGUCGACAGGCAGGCCCCACUGUCAGGGCCUUGUCGGCGGCUGGUUACUGUUGCUCAAUCUUGGUGGCGAGGGCUUCGCCGAAGUGGGCGUGGCUACAGUGCCGCCGCCCGGUGGGCGAUCACUGUAGCCCCACCGCGUCUUGUCUCCUUAAUGGGGCAUCUUCUUCGAGGGAGGUGGCAAGCCGGCUGUGGGGAGCCGGCUCUAUCUUGGGCCAACUGGGGGAGGUCUAGCCGCCUUCGGGUGUCUCUCUGCCCGAAGGGGCCCACCGCCCGUGGGCCGUACUGGUAGCCCGUAGUGGAUGACAUCAGGGUCAACUUGGCAACAGUGCUGCGCCGGACGGGUCAUGGCCACCCGUACGGCGCACUGUGCCAGGCGUGCUCCGGGAUUCGGGGGUGGCAGGCUUCACUAUAGCCACGCCCCGUCACAUCGCCGUUAUGUGGAUGCAGACUUCGAGGGUACGAUCUUGACCGCUUUAUGGGAGCUGGCUUCUUGGAGUCGGCCUUCUCGCGGCCGGCUUCUCGGAGCCGGCCCUCCCGCGGCUUCUCUUCAUGAGGGUUGAAGUCGGGCCGCCUUCCGAUAGCCGGCCUGGAGACAGCCGGCAAGGGGAAGGCGGCCUUGUGUCUUGGAUUCUUGAGGGCCGAAUUGGCUCGUAAUUUUUUCAGAAGGGCCAGGGGGAGCCGGCUAGGCUACCCAUGAUUAUUUACUCCGACAGUAGUCCCCGAAGCUGAUCGAGCUUUGAGGCUGACAAAGGGACGAGAAGCUAGGUCAGCUUCCUAUCCCGAGGGGCCGGCUUUGCUCGUGUGCGCCAUCUUCGGAAAAGCUCCGUUUCUCGUAGGCGGGAACGCGGGCCACGUGGCGAGGAAAUCCUGCCAACGCACACGCACGACGGGACGCCGCCGCAGGCCCGGGCCCACCACUCGCAGGCCUCGGUCCGAGCGUGGAUCUUCUGCGGCCCACAUGGACCGCUCGCCUUCCCGUGGCGGUUUUAUUCUGCCAUCAAGGCACAAUAAUCGCGGGACGUGGGGGAGUGGGCGCAGUUGAUCCCCACGUUCCCCCACGCCGCGCCUCCUCGGCUUCGCCGCGCGGUCUAUAAGUAGGAGGAGGAGGGGGAGCGGCAGAGGCUCGCGCGCUCUCCCUCACUCCACCCCUUCUCGCCCUCCUUCUUCUUCUCUUCGCCGCAGCAGCUCUUUGCCGCGCCGUUCCACCGUCGCUUCGUCUUGCUCCCCGCCGUAGCAAUCCUUUGCCGCGCCGUUUCGCCAUCGCUUCGUCUUGCUCCCCGCCGCAUCGCUCCCAUGGCGCUGUCGAGCUCGUGGGAUGGCUCCAACGUCCACGAGGACCACAUCGAGUUCCUCCGCCGGAUGCGGCGUCUGCCCGGCGAGAACCUUGUGCGGGUUCGUCAAGCAUCGGCGAGGGAGAUUUCGCCGGCACUGGAGGAGGGCGAGCGGGUGAUCUUCCGCUCGCACUGCCUGCGCGGCUUCGGCCUCCCGGUGAGCGGAUUCCUUCGAGCCUUCCUCGAGUUCUACCACCUCCAGCCGCAUCACCUCACGCCCAACGCGGUGAUACUGUUGUCGGCCUUCGUCACCCUGUGCGAAGGUUUUCUUGGAGUUCUCCCCACGCUCGAGCUCUGGGGGGAGUUCUUCCAAAGCAAGCUCGGCACCGUCGUCGCGGGCGUGCCCGCCCCCUGCGGAGCCUUCAUUGCCAUGAGGCGGGCGAGCGAGAACAAUCCGUUCCCGUCCAUUCCGCUGAUCCAGUCGGUGAAGUUUUGGCAGAAGUAUUAUUUCUACGUGAAGAACGUCGCCCAGCAAGGCGACUACGUCAACCUGCCGGCUUACGUAGCCGGCCCGCCGGCUGGGAGGCAGCCUUCGUGGAGCUACCGGGCCAGGUCGCUGUCUCAGGCCGGGAACGCAGCCGUCUCCCGGCUUCGGGUGAUGAUCCAGUCAGAGGGCCUGACCGGAGCCGACUUGGUGGCCGCCUUCGUGGAGCGUCGGGUUCUUCCGCUCCAAGACCGGCCUCACAUGAUCUGCCAAAUGACCGGCCGCUUCGACCCGUGCCGGCUGAGCACUAGGGAGAUGCCUCACGCAGAGGUGUCUUACAUGGUGAAUUAUAUCUCCAACUGCAAGCUCGCCGAGGAUUGGCGAUACGGCAAGGAGUCGUAUUCCCACGCCAACCCUUCGCCUGCCAUAAGUUCUUUCUCCUUUUCUUCCUUUUUUGUAGCCGGCCUCAUGAUAGCCGACUCUUGAUCAAUUGGUUUGUCUUUUGCAGAACCCUCUUCUCCCGCCGACAGCCGGGGCCGCGGGGGUAGAGCGCCAGCUCCUCCCCGACCGCACGGUGGAUGACGCCGAUGAUCCGGACCUGGGAGCGGCCGCCAUGGAAGACGCCAUCGUGGGGGAAGGCGACGAGGCCGGAGGCGCGGGACUCGGGGCCAGCUUGGAGGACUGGCCGGAUGACGACGAGGUCGAAGUCGCCCCGCACCGCCAGCCGGCGCCUGAUCAUCAAGGCGCGGGCUCGUUGCCGUGCCGGCUGCCCGCGGCGGCGCGCAGAAGCGCCGGGCCGCGUCGACCUUCUUCGGCAGCUGGCCGAAAAAAUCCAAGGCCUCCACGGCGGCGACCAAGCGGGAUGAGGUGGCCGCGAAGGCGGCCCGCUUCCGCAAGGCGGUGAAGCAGCCGCAGGCGAUCUCUGCGUAAGUCAUCGAAUGUCUUGCGUAUAUAUUUUUUUUGUCUUCUUCGUCCAAAACUCUUCUAAACAUUUCUUUUCUUGUCGGACAGGGCGCCGCUUUCUCUCGAGCGAGGUCCUGGCGGCUCCGUAGUCGGGCCGACUGGAGGGUCCUCAAGCUCCCGCCGCGUGGAUCCCCGCGUCGACCUUAAGGAGGCCACGGAGCGGAACGCGCGGGAGGCACGGGAGGAGCGGGAGGCGGCGGAGCGAAGGACCGCCCAGGCAACGAAGGAGCAGGCCGACGCGGCGGCCAAGGCCUGGGCGAAGGCGGCAGCCGCGGAGACGGAGGCGGAGGCCUCGCACAACCGGCCUCCGCUGCUCGUUGUUCCCCUCCGCUCCAUGGCCCCCGACGUUCCCAUGCCCCCGUCGGAGGAGGUCGACCAAGGCCCGCUGGUGAUGGAGAGGCGGGAGGAACCCGUGAUCUUCGUGGAGGGGGCGUCGCAGACGGCGCCGACUGGAGCAGGCCAAAGCGGCCAAUCAGCUGCGGCGCCAGAGCAGUCGUCCAGGGGCGAGCCGGCGGCAGGGGCCGGCCUCGAGGUGCAGUCGGCAUUGCGCCGGCGCGCAGGGGGUGGCGCCUCUGCGCUGGAACCGCACCGAGCAGCGAGCGCCAGCUAGACGGCGGAGGCCCUGGAGGCGGCCAGCGUCAGCACGUCCGAGUGGACUCCCAGCGAGGGGACGGGCGAGCUGAACGCGGCGGCCCAGGAGGUCCGGAACCGACUUCAAGCUCAGGCCGCCUCGCUGCAGCGAUACACUCAAGAGUUUCUCUCGACACGGGCCGUCAUCCGGGUGAGUCUUCUGUCCUUGGUUAUUUUGCUCUUUCGAUUUCUUCCGUGGGGGCGCGUCAGCGCACCCACUAGGUGUAGUCCCCGAGUUCCAAGCCGGCUGCUGCGCAGGCGGCUUGGAACUUACUAGGUUCUGACAACUUAACUUAUCCUUGCCUCCUGUAUAAUCUUCCAGGAGUAUCAUAACCUUCGCGCAGCCGCCUUCAACUCCUAGGCUCAGGAGCUGGGACGGAGAACUGAGGACCUGGCCAGCAGCCGGAGUGCGUGUUUGUCUCGUUCAUCUCCUGUGGGGGUGCGUCAGCGCACCCACUGGGUGUAGUCCCCGAGAUUCGGGCCGACUGCUGAGCAGCCGGGUCGGAUCUUCCUUGAUGACUUCCCCUUAUUAAAUUUUCCUUUGUCUUCAUGCUUGUAGGAGCCAAUGCCGACUUGAGGGAGCAGCUCAGCAGGGCCCAGGCCGCCCUUUGCGCCAAGGAAGCCGAGUACAGUGCCUUGGUCCUGGAGCGUGACCGCCUGGUCAAGAAGUUGGCCGACCAGGAGGAGAGCCACAAGGCGGCCCUGAAGAAGGCGCAGGACAACGAGGACGCCCUGAAGGCCGAGUUCGAGAUCGAAGCGGCGGGCUGGGCUGAAGCGAAGCAGGCGCUGAGCGAGGGCUUCAGCCGUAUCGAGGAUCUGAUCGAUGGUAAGCUGCCUUCUUCACUCCAUGCUUGCCCUUUGAUCCAUGAUUUGUGUUCUGACUUGUGCUGAUUUUUAUUCUCUGUGCAGACUACUUUCCCGGCUACUCCGUCUUCGCCACCCAAUCCAUCGAGGCCCAUCGCGAGGUACGCCGGUAGGCGGGGGCUGAAAUCGCGCCGGACGCGAGCCGGACGCUUGAGGAGCAGCUCUUGGCGGUCCAAGCCCGGCUGCAGCCGGCUCACCGUAUGCUCCGCCGCCUCCAGCGUGCCGGGGCGCAGGUGUUGGCCGCCCUCUGGCCAAGCGAGACGAUUCCCCGCACCCCGAGUCGGACUUCCGACUGGCUGGAGGUGGCGGUUGGCCGCUUCGAGGCCUGGAAGGCGUCGGCAGCCCGGCUUGGAGCUGGGCGGGCGCUGGAGUUCGUCCGAGCCUGGUAUCCGGGGCUAAACCUGGACCAGCUGUGCACCUGGCGGCUGGAGGCCAAUGAAGAGUUGGAGGAGGUGCGGCCGGCUAUCGCUCAGCGCGCUUCGACGAUCGCCGAGUGUACUGACAUCAGCGUCUUCGCUCCUGAGAUCAAUGACGACGGCGUUGCCCAGCCGGAGGAGUGGUUCGGGCUGGAUCCGGCAGCGGGUGAAGACUCGGCAGAGGAGAUCGCCUCCAGUGAUGAAGGCGAAGACGACGAAGGAGAGGACGGCGAAGAUGUUGAGCCGACUGGUGAAGCAGACAGCCAACCUCAGCCUGAUCGUGCCUCCGGCAACAAGGCGCGUGCUAGCGCGCCCUCUGCGGGAGGCGGUGAUCAUGCCGAGGUUCGUCAGCCGGCCACUCCUCCAGCCGGCACUGCCGUCUCCACCAACCUGCCCGACUCGCCAGUCGCUCCCUUGGCUUAGUCUGUCGUCCUUGUUUUUACCUGCUUGUUGCCUUUUGAACAACUUUAUUAAACUUGCGCAGUUCCACCCACUGGGGGUGUAUUCGAACUAUGUUGAAUGCUGGCCUUUUGAAGGUCUUUUAUGUAAAUAUUAUUGCGUGUUUGGUUUCCAUUCAUGUAUGCUUUUUAUCCUUAGGCUGUUUCCUUUGCCGUCUUCCCCUUCUGGGAAGGCAAGUACUCAAGCUUUCUUAGAUUGGAGCGAGGUGAAUGGAAGCCGGCCGGCCGGCUACUCUGAUAGCCGGUCGGCGGUGGGAGAAAAACCGGCUUUUGUUAUAUUAGUUCGUUAGUCCCUAGCCGUUUUUCGUGUGGGCACCCGUUCCUGCCCUUAACUCUUGCCAGCCGGAUAGCCGGUUCUUUGAACUGCGACUUUUGGCAAGAGAAGGCUUGGGAGCCGGCACACUACUUGUCUGACUGCGGGUAGGACUUCUAAUAUAACUCCAGGCGGCCAGUCCCCGGGCCGACUAGUCGAACCCGGUGCCGGACGGAAAAAAGUGAAUGCAAUGACAAGGCCAUAAGCAUGAUACUUUUCAUUCAUAGACAAAAGAUGGCAGUCCCCGAGCUCUCCUCGGGGGGCCUAUUGUCUCGUACUUAGUACAAAAGUUAGCGUGAUACAUACUGCAUUUCAACUGUAAAACCUUCGGAGGAGGUUGGCGUUCAAUGGUCGUUCCGACUCCUUGCCGGAGUCGACUCUCUUUCGUGCCUUCGGCUUCUGCGCGUCGAUCAGGUAGUAGGAGUCAUUGCCUAAGGCUCUGCUGAUGAUGAAGGGGCCCUCCCAAGGGGCCGAGAGCUUGAGCUGGACGGUUGUUCGCUGGAUCAGCCGGAGCACACGAUCACCCUCUUGGAAGGAUCUUGGCUUGACCUUCCGGCUGUGGUAGCGGCGCAGGCCCUGCUGAUAGAUGGCGGACCGGAUGAGGGCUAAUAGCCGGCCUUCUUCUAGCAGGUCGACGCCGUCUUCUCGUGCUUCCUUGGCCUCGGCUUCCGUGUACAUGGUUACCCGAGGCAAGUCGAACUCGGUGUCAGUUGGGAUGACCGCCUCGGCACCAUAUACGAGGAAGAAAGGAGUGAAGCCGGUUGACUUGUUUGGUGUAGUGCGCAGACUCCAGAGGACAGCCGGCAACUCAUCGAGCCAACAGCCGGCUGAACGCUCCAGUGGUACGAUCAGUCGGGGCUUGAUGCCGGAAAGGAUGAGGCCAUUGGCUCGCUCGACCUAGCCAUUUGACUGCGGGUGGGCGACGGACGCUAGGUCCAACCGGAUGCCUUGCAUCGCGCAGAAAUGUGCCAAGGCUCCCUUGGCGAAAUUCGUGCCAUUGUCGGUGAUGAUGAUAUGUGGCAUGCCGUACCGAGUUGUUAUAUCUGUGAUAAAUGUCAUGGCAGUCGGCCCAUUCAGCUUCUUGAUCGGCUUUGCCUCAAUCCAUUUGGUGAAUUUGCCCACGGCAACAAGCAGAUGUGUCAUUCCGCCGCGCGCCGUCUUGAAUGGGCCCACCAUGUCCAGUCCCCAAACGGCGAAGGGCCAAGUGAGGGGAAUGGUCUUGAGUGCUAAAGCUGGCAUGUGUUGCUUGGAGCUGAAGAGUUGGCACCCUUUGCAAUGUUUAACUAACUCCUUGGCGUCAUCCAAAGCAGUCGGCCAAAAGAAACCAUGGCGGAAGGCUUUGGCGACGAGUGAUCUUGAGGCCGCAUGGUGGCCGCAUUCUCCUUGGUGGAUGUCUUUGAGGAUUGCAAUGCCCUUCUCUUGCUCAACACAUCGCUGGAGGACUCUAGUGACACUGCGCUUGACGAGUUCUCUGUUGACGAUUGUGUAUGCUCCGGCUCGGCGUUGGACUUGUCUUGCCUCUACUUCGUCAGCCGGCAGAUCUUGGUUUAUUAGGAAGUUGAGGAUGGAUUGAGCCCAUGGCGGAGCUGCGACUUCUUCUAUUGCCAAAACGGCUACUACGACCAGGGCGGGCGGGCUGGGCGGUGAAAUGCUGGAGUCGACCGCCGCCUGUUGUGUUGGUGUAGUCUCCGGGCCGACUACCGCAGUCCCCGAGCCGGGUGAGGCAGUCCCCGGGUCGGGCGUAACUAUGGAAGUCCCCGAGCCGCCUGUUGAUACCCCCUGGCCGACUAUCAAAGUCCCCAGGUCACAUGCUUGGUUCUUCGAGCCAGCUGCGUCGGGGUCAGGCGGCACGAAGAUGGAAUCGGACUAUGGAGACGGCUUGAUAGACGGCUUGAGGAGGCGUUGUAGAGAGACACCAGUUGGUAUUGCUUGCCGAGUGGAGCCUAUUCGAGCCAGGGCAUCAGCUGGCUCGUUGUCGGCUCGUGGUACGUGGAGGAACUCGCAUCUUUCAAAAUACCCACUGAUCUGCUGAACAAGGAAGCGAUAGCUUGCCAUAUUUGCGUCCUUGGCAUCCCAAUCGCCGGAUGAUUGCUGGACCACCAAGUCCGAGUCGCCAUAACAUAGGAUCUGGCGAAUGCCGAGUUCUUUGGCAAGCCGGAGCCCGUGUAUGAGCGCCUCGUACUCGGCCACGUUGUUGGAGGCGGCAAAGUGAAUUUGCAGCGUGUAUCUGAGCUUGUCGCCUUUGGGAGAGGUGAGGAUGACGCCGGCUCCCAAGCCGGUGCGCAUCUUGGACCCAUCGAAGUGCAUGCGCCAAUGAGUGGAGUCGGGAGCCGGCGGUAGGUACUGGGUCUCGGCCCAGUCGACGAGGAAGUCGGCCAAUGCUUGGGACUUGAUGGCAGUGCGAGGCUGGUAGAAGAUCGUAUAGGGGGCCAGCUCGAUGGCCCAUUUCGCCACCCGGCCGGAUGCAUCCCGGCUGCCUAUGAUCUCGGCCAGCGGGGCGGUGCAUACAACCGUGAUGGGAUGCUCUUGGAAGUAGGGCUUCAGCUUCUUGGCGGCGAAGUACACGCCGUAGCACAUCUUCUGGUAGUGCGGGUAGUUCUGCUUCGAGGUAGACAGCACCUCGCUCAAAUAGUACACCGGCCUCUGGACCGGCUGGGCUCGGCCUUCUUUUGGGCAUUGGACUAUGAUGACGAUGCUGACCACCCGGCUGGUUGCGGCAAUGUAGAGGAGCAUGGGCUCUUUCUCAGUCGGUGCCGCCAGGACAGGCGGCGUGGCCAGCAUCUUCUUCAGCUCAUGAAAAGCUUGAUCGGCUUGGUCAUUCCACUCGAAGUGGUUGGUCUUCUUCAUGAGGCGGUAGAGGGGAAGAGCUUUCUCUCCGAGCCGGCUGAUGAAGCGGUUCAGGGAGUCCAAGCAUCCGGUAAACUUCUGGACGUCUCGAAGUUUGGUGAGAAUCGCCAUUCUCUCAAUGGCCUUGAUCUUUACUUGGUUGCAUUCGAUGCCGCGUUCGGAGACCAGGAAGCCUAGGAGCUGGCCGGCUGGCACUCCGAACAUGCAUUUCUCGGGGUUAAGCUUGAUUUGGAACCGGCGUAGGUUCUCAAAUGUUUCCUUGAGGUCUUCCAGCAAGGUGCCGCGCUUCUCCGUCUUCACCACAAUGUCAUCUACGUAGACGUGGGCAUUUCUGCCGAGGUGCUUGAGGAGGCACUUCUGCAUGCAACGCUGAAAAGUGGCACCGGCAUUUCUCAAGCCGAAUGUCAUAGUCAGGUAGUAGAAGGCUCCGAAUGGCGUGAUGAAUGCGGUCUUCAAGCGGUCUGCCGGAUCUAACUUUAUCUGGUGAUACCCUGAGUAAGCAUCCAAGAAACUCAACAGCUCGCAUUCGGCCGUGGAGUCUAUCACUUGGUCAAUCCUUGGCAGGGCAAAGGGAUCUUUGGGGCAGGCCUUGUUGAGGCUCGUGUAGUCUAUACACAUGCGCCACUUGUUGUUCUUCUUUAGCAUGAGGACCGGGUUGGCGAGCCACUCUGGAAAGAAAACUUCCAUAAUGAAGCCGACUGCCAGAAGCCGGGCUAUCUCCUCUCCCACAAUCCUACGUUUCUCCUCCGACAGUCGGCGGAGGGGUUGUUUGACUGGCUUUGUGUCUUCUCGGACGUGUAGUUUGUGCUCGGCGAAUUCCUUCGGAACGCCCGGCAUGUCCUUGGGGGACCAUGCAAAGAUGUCCCGAUUCUCACGGAGGAAAUCAGAGAGCUUGCCUUCCUAUUUGUUGUUUAGGUUUGCCCCGAUGACGGCAAACCUCUCUGGGUGCUCGGGGUCAAGAGGUAUCUUCUUCGUCUCCUUGGCCGGCUGGAAAGAUCCUUGAGCAUCAUGCUCCUUGGGAUCGGGGGACAAGGCCGACUGCUUGCCGGCCAUGGCCACGACUCGGUCCAACAUCUUCUUUUCUUCGGCAAUCACAAGGGACUCGGCCAGCCGACUGCUGGCUGCUGAGCACUCAGAGGACUUCUUGUAAUCGCCGGCUAUGGUGAUGACGCCUUUGGUGCUCGGUAUCUUCAUCUUGAGGUAUGCAUAGUGGGGAACUGCCAUGAACUUGGCCAAGGCAGGUCGGCCAAGCAAUGCAUGGUAAGGGCUCUCCAGGUCCACCACUUCAAACCAGAUCGCUUCCCGGCGGAAAUGCUCCUUGUCCCCAAAAAGUACAUCAAUCUUGAUCUUGCCAAUGGGGGCGCAGGACAGGCCAGGUACGAUGCCAUGGAACACAGUCCGAGUAGGCAUGAGUUGCUUCGUCUUGACAUUCAGCUUCUCCAUGGUGUCACGGUACAGGAUGUUGAUGCUGCUCCCGCCGUCUAUCAGCACGCGGGAGAAUCGGGCAGCGCGUCUAUCCGUUGCAAGGGUGGCAUCCAAAACCAACGCAUAAGAGCCGGGAGAUGGCAUCACCUCUGGGUGGUCGAUCCGGCUCCAGCUGAUAGGUUUUUCUGACCAGUGCAUGUGCUCGGCGGGGUUGGCAGCAACCAUGCUGACUUCUUGGUGCUCUCGGCGUUUGCUGCGCCGGUCUUCGGGAUGACUUGUAAAGAUGAUAUAGGCGGCAUGCUCGUCGGGGAACUCAUCGUGCACGGCUCCGACUGCGGGCCGAGCGGCCGGCGGCGGCGGACCGGCAGGCGGAGGCGGUGUGAGCCCUUCACCUUUAGAGAUUCGGGUGAGCCAGUGGCACUUCCGGGUCGUGUGGUUGGACGGCUUCGCGCCGCUGUGGAACUUGCACGGGGCAUCGAGAGUCUGCUCGUAGGAGAAGGCCGGCUGCCAAGCCGGCUUGCCGCCCCUCUUCUUCUUGGGUGUGGGCGCGCUUCGGGCUGCUAGUCUUCGACUGUGGCCACCUGCCGACUGGUGGAGGGCGGCACCGGGCCCUUGCGCUUGUGGUCGUUUUGGUGUGGGCGUCGGCCGGAGUCCCCAGCCGGCGUCUUGGGCGCCGGGUUGAGUACCUUUCCGGACGCGUCUACCCGGAGUUCGGUCUUCAUCGAGGAGUCGGCGGUGGCGUACUUGUCCGCUAUGAUCAGAAGCUCAUCGAGGGUAGUCGGCUCAUCGCAGAGGAGCUUGUGCUUGAGGAGGGUGCCUUCUCGGCACCCGGCAGUGAAGUAUUAUAUGGCUUGCACCUCGUGCACCCCUUCGCAAGAGUUGCGGAGCUCGGCCCAACGCGUGAGGUAGUCGCGAGUGGACUCGGCGGGGCCUUGUACGCAUAAGGAGAGCUGUCUGGGCUUGGGAGCCCGCUUGUAGGUGCUGGUGAAGUUGCGGACGAAGGCUUCUGUGAAGUCUAGCCAGCUGUUGAUGCUGUAUGGCUUGAGGCUGUUGAGCCAGGUCCGCGUCGUGCCCUGCAGCAUGAGGGGCACGUACUUCACGGCAACGCGCCUGUUGCCGCUAGCUAUGCUAACCGCCAUGGAGUAGUCGAUCGACCAAUCUUCCGGCUUCACGGAGCCGUUAUACUUGGGCGUGUCUCUUGGGAGCGAGAACCCUUUGGGGAAAGGUUCAUCGCGGAUGCGGGGGCCAAAGCAAGGCGGGCCGACAUCGUCUUCUUCUUCUAGCGCCAGGGAUCGCGCCAGGCGGUCGAUCUGAUGGCGGGCGUCGUUCUCGCCGACUCCUUCGCGGCGACCUAGCCGGCCGCUGAGAGUCGGAUGCGCAACAGGCGGCGGGGUGGGAUAUCUCUCUCCACGGGGCCGGGGCAGAGGCAGGUUGCCCCGCCACUCCACGGCUCGGGGGUGGCCUUCUGCGUCUCGCUCGAUGGAGAUUCGGGUUCGGUUUCGGUUGGCAGCCGGGUCUUUCUCGCGCCGCGCGCGGGUUUUACCCGUAGUCGGCGUCCGGGACGUCGCGCCGUGAUCUCGGCAUGGGGGAGGGCUUUCCGCGCGGGCAUCGGCUUCAUGCCGCUGCGCGGCUGCAUUGAUCAGCUGCUGGAUGCGUCGGGUCAGGCGGGGGAGUUCUUCGUCCCCCAGUCCAUCUAGCUCGUCUACGGCCGCCUGGGCAGCGUGCAGGUUCUCGAGUGGAGUAGCGUAGACUGGGCGGUCGAGUCCUAGCGUAUCUGCGAUGACAGCGCCGCGCUGUUUGACAACGCCGGCCUGGCUAGGCCCACCUGGGGGCGGCGUGCCAAAGGCGGCGCGGUCGGCCUCGCGUCGGUGGGCCUCAGCGAGGCGUCUCAUGGAAACCAACUUCCGGCCCUCCGCGAGGAGGGCAAGGCGGCGAGCUUCCAGUGCUUCAGCGUCGGCAUCGGCUAGGAGGGGGAUGGACAAGUCGUGGACCGCCACAUGCGGGGCGUCGUGGGCGCUCUCGUCAGAAGCGCCGCCGUGGCCGAUGACCAUCACCUCGGUGGUGAUAGCGUCGCAGCCAUCGGCCCGAAGAAGCGGGUCGUUGUAGAUCGCGACGUUGGUGGGGAACGUGUCGGAGUCGACAGGCAUCGGAUCGGUGGAGCCAACCGACUCCAAGUCCACGGCAGGUUCGCCGGAGACGUGGAGCUGGCCGAGGAGGUUGACGAGGUGGUCGGUGCCCGCGUCGGAGGCGAGCUCGUCAGAGAUGAGAGUCUUGUCAAGGAGAUCGGCGAGGCUGCUCACCGCACAGAUGUUGGUGACGCCUUGUAGCACGUCGUGGCAAGCGCCAUCGGGCGUGCCGGGCUGGCUACGCUCGCGGGGGAGGAAGAGGGUUCCCGUCCAGAACAGGUCUCCGGACGGCGGUGCACCUGGCCCCAUGGUGGGCGCCAAAUGUCGGGUGGUAGGUGCGACAUAUGCCAACGGAUAGCUUAUCAUUGUGGGAGCCAGUAAGACGUCGCCGGUGCCUGGAAACGGGAUGAGGCGAAGACAUGCACGCCGGCGAAUCUUACCCAGCUUUGGGGCUCUCCGUGGAGAUAACACCCCUACUGCUGCUCUGCGGGGUCUCCGCAUGGUCACUAGAUGAACAAGUAGCUACACGAUACUCCUUGAGCUGUUUGGCGAGAGGAGGAAGAAGGGCACGGCUUGCUCUCUUCUCCUCCCUAUGUGGUGUCUGAGACUAGCAGGGAUUGAUCUCUCUUUGCAUGGAUGCCCCGGGGGGUUUAUAUAGGCCUACCCCCCGGGGUACAAUGGUAAUCCGGCUGGGCGCGGGGCCCAGCAGUCUGUGUCUACGCUCUCCGGCUUCUGCGCCGGCUGCUGGAGCCCGCCGACUAGUGGGUCCCGCUGGCUACCGGCUCCUUGGUCGACAGGCAGGCCCCACUGUCAGGGCCUUGUCGGCGGCUGGUUACUGUUGCUCAAUCUUGGUGGCGAGGGCUUCGCCGAAGUGGGCGUGGCUACAGUGCCGCCGCCCGAUGGGCGAUCACUGUAGCCCCACCGCGUCUUGUCUCCUUAAUGGGGCGUCUUCUUCGAGGGAGAUGGCAAGCCGGCUGUGGGGAGCCGGCUCUAUCUUGGGCCGACGGGGGGAGGUCUGGCCGCCUUCGGGUGUCUCUCUGCCCGAAGGGGCCCACCGCCCGUGGGCCGUACUGGUAGCCCGUCGUGGAUGACAUCGGGGUCAACGUGGCAAUAGUGCUGCGCCGGACGGGUCAUGGCCACCCGUACGGCGCACUGUGCCAGGCGUGCUCCGGUAUUCGGAGGUGGCAGGCUUCACUGUAGCCACGCCCCGUCACAUCGCCGUUAUGUGGAUGCAGACUUCGAGGGUACGAUCUUGACCGCUUUAUGGAAGCCGGCUUCUUGGAGUCGGCCUUCUCGCGGCCGGCUUCUCGGAGCCGGCCCUCCCGCGGCUUCUCUUCAUGAGGGCUGAAGUCGGGCCGCCUUCCGAUAGUCGGCCUGGAGACAGCCGGCAAGGGGAAGGCGGCCCUGUGUCUUGGAUUCUUGAGGGCCGAAUCAGCUCGUAAUUUUUUCAGAAGGGCCAGGGGGAGUUGGCUAGGCUACCCAUGGUUAUUUACUCCGACACCCAUUGGAUUUCAGAUAUCCCUACAGAAAAACAGCAGAUAAGCCAGACAGCACAUUGCGCAUUUCUGAUGCUUUCCUCCAUUUAUUCAUCCCUGGGUAGGGGUUGCGUUUCACCGUCACAAACAUAGUCACCCGAGCACGCAGCAUACAUAUACAUGCCUUGUGUGCAAACACGCAGUGACGCAGCCCAGCGAUGGGCACGUACCAUGCUACCAGCACCAGGGCAUCCCCAUGCACUCCGCGCAGCCGCCCGGUGACGGUUCAGGGGCAGGCACAAGAACGUUCAGGGUCCUCAGA